CCAGACUCCUACGGGAGGCAGCAGUGGGGAAUAUUGGGCAAUGGGCGAAAGCCUGACCCAGCAAUGCCGCGUGAAUGAAGAAGGUCUUAGGAUUGUAAAAUUCUGUCCUAUGGGAAGAAACAAAUGACGGUACCAUAGGAGGAAGCCCCGGCUAACUACGUGCCAGCAGCCGCGGUAAUACGUAGGUGGCAAGCGUUAUCCGGAUUUAUUGGGUGUAAAGGGCGUGUAGGCGGCUUGGCAAGUCAGUAGUGAAAUCCAUGGGCUUAACCCAUGAUCUGCUAUUGAAACUGUCGAGCUUGAGUGAAGUAGAGGUAGGCGGAAUUCCCGGUGUAGCGGUGAAAUGCGUAGAGAUCGGGAGGAACACCAGUGGCGAAGGCGGCCUACUGGGCUUUAACUGACGCUGAGGCACGAACGCGUGGGUAGCACACAGGAUUAGAUCCCCGAGUA
rnacentral:rRNA from 1 species